rnacentral:piRNA from 1 species
UAGGAACACCGACCCAUCUUUGUUUCC